AAGCCAUUUGUGGAGACAAAGAAGGCGUUUUAGGUAAAAAGAAGUUCCUUGAAUAGUAUACAAUUUAGUAGUGUUAUCAGCACAAAAGCGAUAAUUGCUUCUAAGAUUAUAGGGUAGUGAAAAGUUUUCAUAUUAUUAUUCAUUGCUUUCAAAAAGUUGGCAUGUGCAUUUCAAACAACACCUAGUAUCAAACCCUGAAAUUUUAGUGUCAUAUACUCAAAAUAGAGUUGUCAAAUGUCAAUGUGUGAAAUAUAACCACGUCAGGAAGAACGUCAAAUAUGCCACUAAUUGACUAUACCAAAUUAAGUUGUCAAAAUAACUUACAGUCUUUUUAAUAACAAUAGCUUUGGUCAAUUCUAACUAAAUUAAAUAAAAUUAUUAUAUUUCAUUGAAUGCUUCUUCAAAUGUAGUCAAUAUAAAAAUGCCUUAAUUUAUCAGCGGCAAAAGAAAAUACAUUUAUAUCAUUCUAUUACAAAUAAAUUUCAUAGAGAAUGUAUUUUUCAUUAACUUAGCACUUUUGCAUUUUCUCUGUGUACUCCAUUCUUUGCCUUGGCUUGUAGAUGCCUUUGCCUAUAUUAAAUUCAGCAGCCAGGAUAGGGAUGAUGGAGGAAUGGGAAGCAGAGUAUAAAAAACUUAAUGUUUACAUUUUUCUUUCUGUCUAAAAUGUUUACUGUCAUAGACAGAUAUAAAGAUGGAAGGGUAAAAUUAGCACUAAGGCUAAUUUAAACAAAGAGAAUACAUUGCUAUCGUGUAACAAGCAUCAACAGAUUGAAGAGAUGAAUGAAACUUUUGUUCUGGAAGGAUCAUUUAAGAAAAUGAACUCAUAAUAACAUAUGGUAGCUGACUUCAGUAUGGAUUUUCCACUGCAUUGAUCAACUCAGUGAAAUUCUCUUACAUAAAUACAAAUGUUCACAAGACAAAGAUAUCCGUCCAGCAUGGAUGUUGUUCAGAAAGAGGAAAGGAAAAUCCUGCUUUCCACUUGGUGUCGGCUGUAUGCACUUCUCUCAGUCCUCUUGGACGCCGUUGGAUCGCAAUCCAUAGCAUAUUUUACAAAUGAAGAGCAUACGUAAAGAGAGAAGUCUAACAGAUGGCUCCGGGAAAUGCGUAAUAAAUGAAAAGAAACAACAGUGCGCCUUACUAAA
rnacentral:lncRNA from 1 species